rnacentral:rRNA from 1 species
GGGAUAAGCUUGGGAAACUGGGUCUAAUACCGGAUAGGAGCCAUCUUUAGUGUGGUGGUUGGAAAGUUUUUUCGGUGUAGGAUGAGCUCGCGGCCUAUCAGCUUGUUGGUGGGGUAAUGGCCUACCAAGGCGGCGACGGGUAGCCGGCCUGAGAGGGUGUACGGCCACAUUGGGACUGAGAUACGGCCCAG